rnacentral:rRNA from 1 species
AUUGAACGCUGGCGGCAUGCUUUACACAUGCAAGUCGAACGGCAGCGCGGGCUUCGGCCUGGCGGCGAGUUGCGAACGGGUGAGUAAUACAUCGGAACGUGCCCAGUAGUGGGGGAUAGCUCGGCGAAAGCCGGAUUAAUACCGCAUACGACCUGAGGGUGAAAGCGGGGGAUCUUCGGACCUCGCGCUAUUGGAGCGGCCGAUGGCAGAUUAGCUAGUUGGUGGGGUAAAGGCCUACCAAGGCGACGAUCUGUAGCUGGUCUGAGAGGACGACCAGCCACACUGGGACUGAGACACGGCCCAGACUCCUACGGGAGGCAGCAGUGGGGAAUUUUGGACAAUGGGCGAAAGCCUGAUCCAGCAAUGCCGCGUGUGUGAUGAAGGCCUUCGGGUUGUAAAGCACUUUUGGCGGGAACGAAAAGGACUGUGCCAAUACCACGGUUCGAUGACGGUACCCGCAGAAUAAACACCGGCUAACUACGU